rnacentral:rRNA from 1 species
GACGAACGCUGGCGGCGUGCUUAACACAUGCAAGUCGAACGAUGAACCGGAGCUUGCUCUGGGGAUUAGUGGCGAACGGGUGAGUAACACGUGGGCAACCUGCCCCAGACACCGGGAUAACCAUUCGAAAGGAUGGCUAAUACCGGAUACGACCACUUCGGGCAUCCGAUGGUGGUGGAAAGGAUUCUGGUCUGGGAUGGGCCCGCGGCCUAUCAGCUUGUUGGUGGGGUAAUGGCCUACCAAGGCGACGACGGGUAGCCGGCCUGAGAGGGCGACCGGCCACACUGGGACUGAGACACGGCCCAGACUCCUACGGGAGGCAGCAGUGGGAAUAUGCGCAAGUGGGACGAAAGCCUAGACGCAGCGACGCCGCGUGGAGGGACGAAGGUCUUCGGAUU